rnacentral:lncRNA from 1 species
CUAUUUCUACAAUUUGGUCCCCUCGUCUCAUCUUUAUAGGCCCUCCACCAAUUAAUGCCCUCGGACGUUUCUUUGAUUCUUAAUGACUAUAAACUCGCCUUUGGAAUUUUCAAAAUCUUUAAGUGAACAAAACAUCUGUCAUACGCAAGUGGAUGCUGGAAUUGUGAUAAAGUAUGGUUUAGUCAGAAAUCAAAAUUAAUACACAACAACUGUAGAUGCUACCACGGGCCACGGCUAAUCCUACAACUCCAAAAUCCAAUAUAAGUCGUCGAACUUUAAUAGCAAAUUUUUAUGUCAUCGAACCAAUAACGAGAUUAGCUACAAGAUUAUACAACGUCAAAAUACUUCAAUCCCUUUAAUUUUUGAGGUGAAUCUUGCUAUUUUUGUUUGUAAAAUUUUGUUAUAUAUGUAACUGAUGCCAUACAUGCAUUGACUAGUUUUAAGGGAUGCAAAAUUCUAUAGAAAUGGUUGCGGUUUGUCACGACCCUUUUGUUGGGAUGUAUCAUGACAGUUGCGUGGCUUCCGCUGGGCCAUUUCACUGGAGCAGGUGAAUGUGCUUUAGUGAAGGGCAUGGAUGACUCAGGUUGGAGGAAUUAUUUUGGAGUUAGACAGAACAAUUUGGGUAGAGUUUGAGUCUUUAUUACUAAUUGAGGAUCAAACACAGAUGAGGAGAUUAGGCCAUUCCUGCACAAACUGGUCGUGAUUUAAAGUCAAUCACCUAAUAAGCUCAAAGCAGGACAAAACUAGUUGGAGAUGGUCGAUGGUAGAAAAGUUGGUCGGAUAAUAUUGAGAUUGUCGACCGAUGCACGAUCUUUUGAAAACAAGCCCAUGACAGAUUGCUGUAAAAAAAUGAUGGUUGAAUAGGAAGAUGUAAAAUUACUAAAAUAGAGACAAUACAAAUGAUUUACAAAAAAACAUCAAAACUAAUCUGUAAAGAAAAAAACACACACACCAAAAUUAUAUUUUUCUUUUAAGCACCAAGAAUCCGACAUAAGUUUUUGUUUGUCUAUUAGUUUAUUAUAUGUAGUUUAUUAGUUUAUUAUUUAGAUAAAAAAUUAUUCCUUAAAAAAAAAACCAUAAAAACGGGAUUGUUACCGUAUAACGAAAUUACAAAAUCUAGAUGUGGUUCCAAGUUCUAACCAUUAGGUUCAACAUCCCAAAGAUCAGUUGAUAGACUGGUGAUUCCACUAGAAAAGUUGACAAAAGGGGCAAUUGGUAGAAACAAUAGAGACUUUAACUCGGUUUUUUUCAAAUGUUCAAAGUUUGAUUUAAUUAUUCAACCACUUUUUUUUAAAAAAAAAUCUAAUAAUGAAAACCUUCUGUUUUUUUUUUUAAAGUCAAUCCCCAAUAUUAUCUAUGUUAAUAUUUUUGAAAUACAUAUUUGUUGUUUUAAUUGAGUCGUUUUCUAAUUUUUGCACCUAAACAUUCAAUCGAAUCUUUUCUUAAAGUUCGAUAAUAUAUGAAAACAAAUUAAACUUCAAUAUUAAUAUAUAAGACGAUAUACCGCAGAAAAAAUAUUAAAACUAACAAUCAAAAAAUUAUAUAAUUUAAACACAAAAUAAAACAAUACAACGUAAAAUUUAAAAAAUUUAGUAACCCAAACUCGAAUCUUUUAGUAGUAUUAAAAGAAUUACACAUAUUUUUCUCACCAAAAUUAUCUUUUAAUUUUUUAAUUAUAUUCUACUUAUUACCAACUAUAAUUAUUUCCAAGUAGUCGUUAGUAAGUUACUUACUUAUUAGUUAUUACAUGUUUUGAUUAUUCUAAUUUUAAUUGUCAAACACAUUAGAAUAUUUUUAAACUCUAGAAAUAUUAUUUUAAACACUUUAGUUUUGAAUUUUACCAUUGCAUUUGAACAACUUGUUUCAAUAUUAUUAAAUAAGAAAUCUCAAAUAUUAAUAUACGAAAAGGAGAGAAAAUAAAAUAGUAUUGGCAUAUUCUGGGAAACCUUCAAUUUCUUUUUGUGUGUUAAGAAUAGAUAGAUGAGAGUGAUGAUUUGGAGAAAGAGAGAUGGAACCACCAGCUGCUCGUGUAACGCCG